GUACUCACUUCAGCGGCACAUUUACAAAAAUUGGAAUGAUACUGAGAAGAUUAGCAUGGCCCAUGCCCAAGGAUGACACAAAAAUUCAUGAAGUGUUACAUAUUUUU